rnacentral:rRNA from 1 species
AUGGAGACAGCGGUCGGCGGCAGCUGGACACGCGUCCGCACGCUCGGCCGCGGCGCGUCCGGCGCCGUCGUGUCCCUCGCCGCCGACGACCUCUCGGGCGCGCUCUUCGCCGUCAAGUCGGCGCCCGCGGCCGCCGCGGACCAGCUCCGGCGCGAGGGCCGCAUCCUGUCCGGCCUCUGCUCGCCGCACGUCCUGCCCUGCCUCGGCUUCCGCGCCGCCGCCGGCGAGUGCCAGCUCUUCCUCGAGUUCGCGCCGGGCGGCUCCGUUGCCGACGUCGCCGCGAGGAGCGGGGGCCGGCUCGAGGAGCGCGCCGUCCGGGCGUACGCCGCCGACGUGGCCAGAGGCCUGGCGUACCUCCACGGGAGGUCCCUCGUCCACGGCGACGUGAAGGCGAGGAACGUCGUGGUCGGCGCCGACGGCCGCGCGAAGAUCGCGGACUUCGGGUGCGCGAGGGCGGUGGGCUCUUCCGACCGGCCCGUCGGGGGCACGCCGGCGUUCAUGGCGCCGGAGGUGGCGCGGGGCGAGGAGCAGGGCCCCGCGGCCGACGUCUGGGCGCUGGGCUGCACCGUCGUCGAGAUGGCCACCGGCCGCGCCCCGUGGAGCGACAUGGACGACGUCCUCGCCGCGAUGCACCGGAUCGGCUACACGGACGCCGUGCCGGAGGUGCCGGCGUGGCUGUCCGCGGAGGCGAAGCGCUUCCUGGCCAUGUGCUUCGCGAGAGACGCCCGCGACCGGUGCACGGCGGCGCAGCUGCUGGAGCACCCGUUCCUGGCAUCGGCCGGUUGCGGCGUGAAGCCCGAGGAGGCGGCGGCCAAAUGGGUGUCCCCCAAGAGCACGCUGGACGCGGCGCUCUGGGAGGAGUCCGACACCGAAGAGGACGACGACGGCAUGUCAGAGAGCCCCGCUGCCGAGAGGAUCAGAGCAUUGGCAUCCCCUCCGUCGGCAUUCCCGGACUGGGACUCAGACGAAGGCUGGAUCGACGUGCUCAGCGACAGCCGUGAAGCUCGCGAUGCCGCCGCCGAGGACGAGCGCGCAUCAUCGGGCGAAGUAGCUUUCGAAGCGGAGGCCGAAUUCUUCGUGUCUGCAUACGUGGAGGAUGCCGAUCGUGUUGGCACUGUAGGAUUAACUGCUCUCUCAGUCUCAGCUGAGCAGCAGAAUGACUUCUGCUCGGGCCUCUUGAGUGACCCACCUGUAUUUCCUGUGAGCAGUGCCUUCCUUGAUGAAAGUGGAAUAACAGAAUCGUUAUUGCAUCGAACUAGUACAAGUAUUACUGUCCCCUUCCGUGCGCGCUUAAUUACUUCCGCCGAACUAUCGUGGCGUGACGAUUCCAGAAACGUUUGCUCUAGACUAGAGAUAUGCACGAGCCAUUUGGGGAUCACCUGUCGGGUUAGCAUGGAGUAG